rnacentral:rRNA from 1 species
UACGUAGGGGGCAAGCGUUGUCCGGAAUCAUUGGGCGUAAAGGGCGCGUAGGUGGCCCGGUCAGUUCGUGGUGAAAGCGCGGGGCUCAACUCCGCGUCGGCCAUGAAUACUGCUGGGCUGGAGCACUGUAGAGGCAGGCGGAAUUCCGGGUGUAGCGGUGGAAUGCGUAGAGAUCCGGAAGAACACCGGUGGCGAAGGCGGCCUGCUGGGCAGUUGCUGACACUGAGGCGCGACAGCGUGGGGAGCAAACAGG